GUACGGUCAACCAAUUUGAUUCCUAGGCCACUAUAGCCUCGUAAGGCCCAAGGUCCUACCUAUAGGACUUAUUAGUUCGAUUAAAUUUAAAUCAUAUUCAAUUAGGACAGAGUUGCAUUUGUUUUGAUUCGUGCAAUUUUCAAACAAAAUAAAAUCAACUGUAUUCCGUGCACUAUAGAUUCAAAUUCCAGUGGCAAAUUUUGGAUUUUUCAUUUCUAUGGCAGGGCCUUAAGAGGAUAGAACCAUGUCAUAAUGACUUCUACGACAGUGCUUAUUGAGUGAUGCAUGUCAUGUAUAGAGUAGUUAAAGCGACAAGGUUCUAUAGUGGCCUAGGAUUCAAAUUGGUUGACUGUACACGGUCGUGAUGAUGAUACAAUCAUCGUUUAUAUGAUAUAAAGUCUAAUUUCACAAAUUUUGGAAGUAACGAUUUCCAUGCCUGAAUAAAAAUAGCUAUAUGAGAAAUUUGCCGCUACUGUACCUAAAUCGGUCUCUCUAGAUUAACCCGAUAUUUUCUGAACCAUGACUGUUUCAUAUUAAAGCCAAUAAAUCGUACAAGUGCCAAUUCUCUUCGCUGGACUCCAGUUCAUAUAUAAACAAAACAUUUGAUGUGCGUUUUAUUUGUUUUGGAUUCUUCGUCCAACAAUGGUUUUCAAAUUAUUCCUUGUUGCGCUGGUCCUCGCCACAGUGCUGGCGGUGGUGGCCGGGCAGUACUGGCCAACGUUCAACGAACUCUCCAGAUUGCUCCCAGAAAAGGUUCUGCAAGACAAGUUCCAGUGCGGUCCUGGAAAGCAUUUGGACGAGAACGGAGUGUGUCAACCAAACACGUCAUAAUGGAAACGAGGGAAAUAUAUUAUAAUAAUAUGAGCUUUGAGGGAGACUUUUGAUUAUUUUUGUUAAAUACUAAAAUUAAUUUAUUCUUCUACCAUUGUGAUUUUCUGUUAAUCUAAAUACAACCUUUAUGACUUCA